GCAAGGUGGCAGGGAGGGUGGGAGGUGGGCACAGUGUGCAAAGCACCAUCAGCUGGGGCCCGGGUUCUCAGAGCC
rnacentral:miRNA from 1 species